CGGCUCUCGGGGACGGAGGCGCCCGGUCCGCCCUGACGAGCUCGCCACUGGCUCUGCUCCGGCGGCGACGGCGACAGUGGCCCUGGCCGACUUUCCCGGGGCCCACACCUCCUCGAGAGCCAGCUUGGGCAGGGGACGGUGCCGCACCACCAAGGCCCCGCGCUAGUGUGCACCCCCGGCCCGGGCCCGGCAGGUGGGCGAGGAGGGCGGGCGCAGUCGGGCUCUGCAGGAGCGCGCGGAGAUUCUGGCUACAUUGGAGAUUGGUUGCUUUCUAAAACUGAAGGAGAAGCCCAUGAAGAGAUGGUGGAUUCUCACUGAGUUUUGACUAGCGGAAGAAAAGAGAGAGUUCAAGUGGAUGGCCUUGAGGACUUGAAAAGCUGAGAUAUGAUGAUUUUGAAGUCAUUUCACAUCGAAGCCAUGAUUUAAAUAUCGGCGUUAAGAUUUCAACAAGAAAAACUUAAGCUUCCUUGGAUUCCCACGUCAAAGGAAAGUUUCAAGCUUUCAGAAGGAGUUCUCACUCGAAGAUAAAGAACAGCUCGCUAACCACGAAAGAGGAAUCGAUGCUCAGCUUUUAGUUGCACUUCCUAAAGUUGCAGAAUUAAGACAAAUCUUUGAACCAAAGAAGAAAGAAUUCUUAG
rnacentral:lncRNA from 1 species